GCCCCGCCCCACUGUCGCCGCGGCCUCGGCCCCGCCGCCUUGGGCACCCAGGGGUUUCCCGCAGGAAGAAGCGCCGGCCCGAGCUCCGCGCGGAGGGAUCUACUACGAGUCACUGGCCCCGUCCGCAUCCUUCUCCAGCGGCCCCGGGGGCCGCCGCGCCUUAACUCGAUCAGGGCUGCAGCGGCUCGCUGGCUUGACCAGUGCAGAAGGGGCGUGGAGGUGAGCGGGGUGGGGUAGGACUCUGAACUUCAAGCACUGGAGUUUGCCGGGAUCGUGAACUUGCAGGGAGAGGCGGUCCUCAUCCAGUGAGGUCUGUAUCGCCACCUACACCCACACAUCCACACACUGCUUUGCUAGCUAGAGGAAUGCUCUGGAGUAGGACCAGUGCUGUCAAAGAAGGAAAGUGGGCCAAGGCGCCAAAGUCCAUUAAAAAGGAAUAGAGCCAUCACGGAGUGGUGCUGCCCCAUUCAUUCAUUCAUUUGUUCAUCCGUGUAGCGAAUAUUUCUUAAGUGCCUUACUUUGCGUAGCUGUGUGCUUGGCAGUGGGAUGAUACCAAAGAUGCACAAGCAACUUUGAGUACCAAGACUUUGCCGCUGUGGGCUGGGGGAUUCAGGGAAGGCUUUCCCAGAGGAGCUGGGAUGAAAGCAGGAUCUUGAAAGGUACUAACAGUCUAAGCAGAAAAAGAAGAACAGAUGGUGGUAAGACCUAGAAUGUUUACCCCAUUAAGAUCUAUAUCUGAAUCCAGAAGGAACACCUCAUUGCCGAGAAGAGCCCUGCAGACAGUUCACACCUCUGUUUCUUUUGCAAGAUAUAGCUACCUCAAAAAAUCCUUUCUUGAUCAAACUCUUAUGGCCUGGAAUCCUUGCGUUUCUGCUGAUGACUGUCAUUUUAGAGUACUUACUAAAGACAAUGGUUGGGGAAAUAGAUAUUUUAAAAAUAAGGGAAAAAGUGGGUAGGGUAAACCCAGGCUUACUUAUGUAAACUCUGAGUGCUGAAGUUAGAAGACAACUUUUAAGAUUAAAAAAAAAAAAAAAAAAAAAGAUUUCUGGUAGCCGCCAGAAGCUAAGAACAGAUUCUCCCUCUGAGCCUCCAGAACCCAGAUGACACCUUGAUUUCAGACUUCUGGCCUCCAAAACUGUGAGAGAAGAAAUGUGUUGUUUUAAGGCACCCAGCUGGUGACAGUUCAUCACAGUAGCCACAGGAAACUAAUACCCAGCCCCAUGGCAGGCAUAGGUCAAGCCUGGCACAGUCUGGAUCUCAGUCCCUGACUCAGACCCUGGAUGCUCGCUGCCUUGUACAGAAACAACCUGCUCAACCAAACAGGGUGACCCUGCUGAAGCCGCAAAUGUCCAACAGUCCUGCCAACCGUGGAUGCUUCUGUAGCUUCCCUUUAGCUCUCCCUCCUGGCAUGAAACCAGACACAGACUACCCAGAAGAUGAACUGAGCACUCUGCAAUGGGCCCAGCACGCUGCUGCAUCUGAGACCAUCUUCUCGGCCCUAACAACCCUGGCAGGCUCUUCUCUCUGGUGGGGAAAUUGGGCUUAGGGAAAGGACAUCUUUAGGACAGUCAUCCCACCAAGUAGAAUGACUCUAUGCAGCCUGAAUACUGUUUCCCUGGGAGGAAAAAAAUCCAAAGCAUAAACUUUUAUAAGCUGUUUUAAUUAAAACACUCUUUGUAAAGUGAUGUAUUUGAAGCAAGGGAGGAGAAAGGUUUUCUGGCAAAA
rnacentral:lncRNA from 1 species